rnacentral:lncRNA from 1 species
CCCGCCCCCCGCUCCGUCUCCCCGCAGGCGCAAUUGCCAUGGCUAGCGCCUCAGUUUUCGAAGAAUGAGGCUGCGAGCCGGGGGAGGGGCGGGGUUGGCGCAUGCGCGAGCUUGCCUGUUUUCCCCGGAGGUGCGGCUCGGGUUCGGUACCUAAGAGCCAGCACACCUCUGCACUGAGAACACUGAAAACAGUGAGAGGAAGGUUUGGCAGAAUAGGAGCAGCGUGAGGAUUUGAAAGUGCAGGUAAGAUUUUUACUUGUGCACGUUGAGCACGGGUCUCCUUGGGUGGACCAGUUUGGGGCGGGGGGGUGGGAGGGUGGUAGGGGAAGCAAGGGC